GCUGUUUCAGCAGCGCAUGUAUUAAAAUUGGAAUGAUACAGAGAAGAUUAGCAGAGCCCCUGGGCAAGGAUGACAUGCAAAUCUGUGAAGUGUUCCAUUUUUUU